rnacentral:rRNA from 1 species
GACGAACGCUGGCGGCAGGCCUAACACAUGCAAGUCGAACGAGUGGCGGACGGGUGAGGAAUGUCUGGGAAACUGCCUGAUGGAGGGGGAUAACUACUGGAAAAGGUAGCUAAUACCGCAUACCAUCAGAUGUGCCCAGAUGGGAUUAGCUAGUAGGGGGGGUAACGGCUCACCUAGGCGACGAUCCCUACCGGGUCUGAGAGGAUGACCAGCCACACUGGAACUGAGACACGGUCCAGACUCCUACGGGAGGCAGCAGUGGGGAAUAUUGCACAAGGGGCGAAAGCCUGAUGCAGCCAUGCCGCGUGUAUGAAGAAGGCCGUCGGGUUGUAAAGUACUUUCAGCGGGGAGGCGUUACCCGCAGAAGAAGCACCGGCUAACUCCGUGCCAGCCGCCGCGGUAAUUC